rnacentral:rRNA from 1 species
UACGUAGGGGGCAAGCGUUGUCCGGAAUCAUUGGGCGUAAAGAGCGCGUAGGCGGUCCGAUAAGUCGGUUGUGAAAACUGGGGGCUCAACCUCAGAGGCCGACCGAUACUGUCGGGCUAGAGUCCGGAAGAGGCGAGUGGAAUUCCUGGUGUAGCGGUGAAAUGCGCAGAGUAUCGGGAAGAACACCCGUGGCGAAGGCGGCUCUCUGGGACGGUACUGACGCUGAGACGCGAAAGCGUGGGGAGCGAACGAGG